rnacentral:tRNA from 1 species
GCGAAAGUGGCGGAAUUGGUAGACGCGCCGGACUUAGAAUCCGGUGGUUUUCCACCAUGGGGGUUCGAGUCCCCCCUUUCGCACCA